UGUAUGUAUAUAAUGGUAUGGAUAGACAAUGACAUUAUGGACAGUAUGUGGCUAGAAAAGGUGUGUACAGCAGCAGUUAUAUAGGAUGAGUCUUGACUAGAAUACACUAUAUACAGUAUGUGGCUAGAAAAGGUGUGUACAGCAGCAGUUAUAUAGGAUGAGUCUUGACUAGAAUACACUAUAUACAGUAUGUGGCUAGAAAAGGUGUGUACAGCAGCAGUUAUAUAGGAUGAGUCUUGACUAGAAUACACUAUAUACAGUAUGUAGCUAGAAAAGGUGUGUACAGCAGCAGUUAUAUAGGAUGAGUCUUGACUAGAAUACACUAUAUACAGUAUGUAGCUAGAAAAGGUGUGUACAGCAGCAGUUAUAUAGGAUGAGUCUUGACUAGAAUACACUAUAUACAGUAUGUAGCUAGAAAAGGUGUGUACAGCAGCAGUUAUAUAGGAUGAGUCUUGACUAGAAUACACUAUAUACAGUAUGUAGCUAGAAAAGGUGUGUACAGCAGCAGUUAUAUAGGAUGAGUCUUGACUAGAAUACACUAUAUACAGUAUGUAGCUAGAAAAGGUGUGUACAGCAGCAGUUAUAUAGGAUGAGUCUUGACUAGAAUACACUAUAUACAGUAUGUGGCUAGAAAAGGUGUGUACAGCAGCAGUUAUAUAGGAUGAGUCUUGACUAGAAUACACUAUAUACAGUAUGUAGCUAGAAAAGGUGUGUACAGCAGCAGUUAUAUAGGAUGAGUCUUGACUAGAAUACACUAUAUACAGUAUGUAGCUAGAAAAGGUGUGUACAGCAGCAGUUAUAUAGGAUGAGUCUUGACUAGAAUACACUAUAUACAGUAUGUAGCUAGAAAAGGUGUGUACAGCAGCAGUUAUAUAGGAUGAGUCUUGACUAGAAUACACUAUAUACAGUAUGUAGCUAGAAAAGGUGUGUACAGCAGCAGUUAUAUAGGAUGAGUCUUGACUAGAAUACACUAUAUACAGUAUGUAGCUAGAAAAGGUGUGUACAGCAGCAGUUAUAUAGGAUGAGUCUUGACUAGAAUACACUAUAUACAGUAUGUAGCUAGAAAAGGUGUGUACAGCAGCAGUUAUAUAGGAUGAGUCUUGACUAGAAUACACUAUAUACAGUAUGUAGCUAGAAAAGGUGUGUACAGCAGCAGUUAUAUAGGAUGAGUCUUGACUAGAAUACACUAUAUACAGUAUGUGGCUAGAAAAGGUGUGUACAGCAGCAGUUAUAUAGGAUGAGUCUUGACUAGAAUACACUAUAUACAGUAUGUAGCUAGAAAAGGUGUGUACAGCAGCAGUUAUAUAGGAUGAGUCUUGACUAGAAUACACUAUAUACAGUAUGUAGCUAGAAAAGGUGUGUACAGCAGCAGUUAUAUAGGAUGAGUCUUGACUAGAAUACACUAUAUACAGUAUGUGGCUAGAAAAGGUGUGUACAGCAGCAGUUAUAUAGGAUGAGUCUUGACUAGAAUACACUAUAUACAGUAUGUAGCUAGAAAAGGUGUGUACAGCAGCAGUUAUAUAGGAUGAGUCUUGACUAGAAUACACUAUAUACAGUAUGUGGCUAGAAAAGGUGUGUACAGCAGCAGUUAUAUAGGAUGAGUCUUGACUAGAAUACACUAUAUACAGUAUGUAGCUAGAAAAGGUGUGUACAGCAGCAGUUAUAUAGGAUGAGUCUUGACUAGAAUACACUAUAUACAGUAUGUAGCUAGAAAAGGUGUGUACAGCAGCAGUUAUAUAGGAUGAGUCUUGACUAGAAUACACUAUAUACAGUAUGUAGCUAGAAAAGGUGUGUACAGCAGCAGUUAUAUAGGAUGAGUCUUGACUAGAAUACACUAUAUACAGUAUGUAGCUAGAAAAGGUGUGUACAGCAGCAGUUAUAUAGGAUGAGUCUUGACUAGAAUACACUAUAUACAGUAUGUGGCUA